GAAAGGGUGGACAGCCUGAAUGUCAAGGAGCUGCAGGCGGCAUGCCGGGCGCGGGGCAUGCUGACCCUAGGCGUCACCGAGGACCAGUUGCAGAGGCAGCUGAAGCAGUGGUUGGAUCUGCACCAGCACCAGGAGAUGCCCACACUGCUGCUUGUGCGGUCUCAGGCCAUGAAUCUCCCAGACACUCUCACCUGCUGACCAGCUCAAGUCUACCUCCAGACCUUCCCGGAGAUUGUGGCCAAGGAGCCCCAGGUGAAAGCAUUCGGGUUGCAAGGCGAGCAGGUGUACAAAGCCAAGCUAGAGGCCACGCUGCAGGAGGAGGCCACCAUGUGGCAGAAACACCACGAGAAGGAGCUGCAGUGGGCUGCAGAGGUGUAAGCAGCGAAGGGCGCUGAGCUAGAAAGUGUGGGUGCCACCACUCCCGAUAAGUCUGUGGCCAAGCUGCAGCCGGAGGUGCCUGAUGUGAUCUUGCCCUCUGAGGCCCUGAAGGACACUGCCCCUGUGCUGGAGGGCUUGAAGGAAGAGGAAAUAACUAAGGAGGAAAUCGAUGUGCUGAGCAAUGCGUGCUCCAAGUUGAAGGAGCAGAAGAAGUCGCUGACCAAGGAGGAGGAGGAGCUGGUGCUGCUGACGGAGGACAUCCAGGACCACAGCAAGAUCAAGAAGGAGCUUUCCAAGAUGGGUGAGGACAAGCUCGAGGAGGCAUCGAAAAGCUAUAAGACGCUGACACAGUGGGUGCAGCAGAUGAUCAGGCAGAUCGAUGGGCUCAUCGCCCAGCUGGAGGCGGACCAGCAGGCUGGCAGGCUGGGCGCAGCUGAGACCACGCCCGUGGGGAAGAAUGUCAUCAGUGUCAGAGCUCAUCAGUGCCAUGAAACAAAUCAAGCACAUCCGGAAAACAAGCUGGUCAGCUUGGCCUCUCUAAAUGGACUCAAGCCCUGCAGGACUUUGAACCAACAAUCUUUGUUUGCAUCCCAUUUCCAUCUUUCAGAUGUGACAAAUCCAUCCUGCCAAACGGUGACUACCUUCCAGGCUUCCAAGUUUGGGCACUGAAAGUCCCACAUCCCAGGAAAGCGCACAGUCCCAAGCAAACCGGAAUGCUCCAAAUUAAAGUGUUGUUCCAGCCACCUGACUGCUCAGGCUCCCUCCCAAAGGGACAGAGUGAAAAAUGAAAGAAGAAAGACAUUCCAACCUGCCAGGCAGGAAAUUUGCCUCCAGGUGAACGGCUUCAUCUUUACAUCCAACAGACCCUCAGUUCGGAGGGGGCGCAUCCUACAUCCAGAAGGAAAAAGGCU
rnacentral:lncRNA from 1 species